CCCCGGUUAGCUUAGAUGGUAGAACAUCAGACUUUUAAUCUGAGGGUCAAGGGUUCGAGCCCCAUAUCGGGCG
rnacentral:tRNA from 1 species